GGUGGCUACUGGCUAGAAAAUUCUUCAAUUCGAUUUUCCUAUUUCUGUUGAGUGUUGACUGUGCUUGAUUUUAGACAUUUUUGUUAUGAACGUGUAUGUUUUCCGAGAAAACAAAUAGUAGAUAGGAAAGAACUUGUCCAGGUUGGCAACGGGUUCGGAAAAUUGAAGUUUUGGUUUCCAAGGAAUUAGUCGAAAACUUCCCUAGGUCCUCCAUCAAAAUUUCUACGUCGAAUCCACAUCGGCAGCCUUUGUGAUGAAUUUGAUAAGUAUUGGUGGGACCCAAGAAAGAGACGUGGUGCUGCCUUUUUUGCUCUGCAAGAUGCUGUUAGAAUAACCGAAAAGAGAGAGAAUUAUAAACGUGAAUCCAUGGCUAUAUAAGAGGAGAGGACGAAUGAGUAGGGUGUGGAUGAUUUGAGUAAUCUUUUCUCUCUGAUGUAUUCUUUCCUUCUGAUCCCUCUGUAUUUCUUCUCUUCUCCUUCUUUCUAAUUUCUAUAAUUCUCUUC